rnacentral:rRNA from 1 species
AUGUCCGCGCCCCCCAUGGCUGCCAGCGCCCAGGAGCUUCCCCCGGCGGAGCAGGCUCCCUCCUUGGCGUUGGCGCUGGUGCCUCAGCCGCAGGCGCAGGCGCAGAUUAAGCCGACCAGGGUCUCGCUGUCCUACGAGGAGAUCUCCAAGCUCUUCUCCCUCCCAAUCGCGGAGGCCGCCUCCAUCCUAGGCGUUUGCACCAGCGUCCUCAAGAGGAUAUGCCGCACCCACGGUAUUGUCAGAUGGCCGUAUCGAAAGAUUGUUUCUGGGAAGGGUGAUGACGCGAAAAAUGCUGAAAGAGAGAAAGCCAUGCAACUUCUUGAGUUGUCAAAAAUUGCAAAACAAAAGGCUAUAAGCUCUUCUGGUUCAUUAGCGACGUCAUCAUCAGGUGCUUUCCAGGGAGUGCCAAAAGCUCAACAAGGCAGUGCGAAGGCAGGAACAGCUAUAGGUCGACAAAAUGCGCCAAGCCUGUCCCAGUUUAGCCAAGCCAAAGACAUCCCCACCUACAUGGAUGAUUUCAAGUACGGAUUUCCAUCAUCUGGCCUGUCUACUGAAACAAUGAAAUGGUGGGGGACUGACAGCCACACAGAGACUGCUCCCGCGAAAGACGAUAACCGGGAAGGCUCCGAAUCAACAAAUGAGGCAUCGAAAGGUAUGACCGACGACGAGUUAGACUGGGGAGCAGACGAACCCGAAGCUGAUGCUGACGGAGUGGCUGCUGCAACUGACCCGUCGGCGCAGCUCUGCUCCCUUAGGAGAAAGGCCGCGGGCGACGGGCGUAGGCUGCUGAACGGUGACACCGGCAGGGUCCAGCAGUUGUGCCGACUGAACAAGAGGCAGAAGAUAGUGCUGGCCCAGGUGUUUGGAGCUUCACUGCCAGAGCACUGGAGGAGCAACCUAGCCUGA